rnacentral:rRNA from 1 species
ACGCUGGCGGCAGGCUUAACACAUGCAAGUCGAACGGUAACAGGAAUUAGCUUGCUAAUUUGCUGACGAGUGGCGGACGGGUGAGUAAUGCUUGGGAAUCUGGCUUAUGGAGGGGGAUAACUACGGGAAACUGUAGCUAAUACCGCGUAAAAUCUUCGGAUUAAAGGGUGGGACUUUCGAGCCACCUGCCAUAAGAUGAGCCCAAGUGGGAUUAGGUAGUUGGUUAGGUAAAGGCUGACCAAGCCGACGAUCUCUAGCUGGUCUGAGAGGAUGACCAGCCACACUGGAACUGAGACACGGUCCAGACUCCUACGGGAGGCAGCAGUGGGGAAUAUUGCACAAUGGGGGGAACCCUGAUGCAGCCAUGCCGCGUGAAUGAAGAAGGCCUUCGGGUUGUAAAGUUCUUUCGGUGACGAGGAAGGUUGAUAGGUUAAUAGACCUAUCAAAUUGACGUUAAUCACAGAAGAAGCACCGGCUAACUCCGUGCCAGCAGCCGCGGUAAUACGGGGGGUGCGAGCGUUAAUCGGAAUAACUGGGCGUAAAGGGCACGCAGGCGGUGACUUAAGUGAGAUGUGAAAGCCCCGAGCUUAACUUGGGAAUUGCAUUUCAUACUGGGUCGCUAGAGUACUUUAGGGAGGGGUAGAAUUCCACGUGUAGCGGUGAAAUGCGUAGAGAUGUGGAGGAAUACCGAAGGCGAAGGCAGCCCCUUGGGAAUGUACUGACGCUCAUGUGCGAAAGCGUGGGGAGCAAACAGGAUUAGAUACCCUGGUAGUCCACGCUGUAAACGAUGUCGAUUUGGGGAUUGGGCUUUGAGCUUGGUGCCCGUAGCUAACGUGAUAAAUCGACCGCCUGGGGAGUACGGCCGCAAGGUUAAAACUCAAAUGAAUUGACGGGGGCCCGCACAAGCGGU